rnacentral:rRNA from 1 species
UACGUAGGGGGCAAGCGUUGUCCGGAUUCAUUGGGCGUAAAGAGCGUGUAGGCGGCCAGGUAGGUCCGAUGUGAAAACUGGAGGCUCAACCUCCAGCUGUCAUUGGAAACCCUCUGGCUAGAGUCCGGAAGAGGAGAGUGGAAUUCCUGGUGUAGCGGUGAAAUGCGCAGAUAUCAGGAAGAACACCCGUGGCUAAGGCGGCUCUCUAGUACGGUACUGACGCUGAGACGCGAAAGCGUGGGGAGCGAACAGG